rnacentral:rRNA from 1 species
AUUGAACGCUGGCGGCAGGCUUAACACAUGCAAGUCGAGCGGCGAAAGGUAGCUUCUUGCUACUGGACCUAGCGGCGGACGGGUGAGUAAUGCUUAGGAAUCUGCCUAUUAGUGGGGGACAACAUCUCGAAAGGGAUGCUAAUACCGCAUACGUCCUACGGGAGAAAGCAGGGGACCUUCGGGCCUUGCGCUAAUAGAUGAGCCUAGGUCGGAUUAGCUAGUUGGUGGGGUAAAGGCCUACCAAGGCGACGCUCUGUAGCGGGUCUGAGAGGGUGAUCCGCCACACUGAGACUGAGACACGGCCCAGACUCCUACGGGAGGCAGCAGUGGGGAAUAUUGGACAAUGGGGGGAACCCUGAUCCAGCCAUGCCGCGUGUGUGAAGAAGGCCUUUUGGUUGUAAAGCACUUUAAGCGAGGAGGAGGCUACCGAGAUUAAUACUCUUGGAUAGUGGACGUUACUCGCAGAAUAAGCACCGGCUAACUCUGUGCCAGCAGCCGCCGUAA